UCAUGGUUUGCUACCUCAACAGCUCCUUUAUAGGAUCCAAUAGCUAAGGAUAUCAUCAGGAAGAAGCACGACCGGUUUCGGCCCCUAGUCCUCUACCGCUUUCGACGUGACGGGACCCAUCCUUUCGGAGGUGUCUCCAGUCCUGGUGCUGAAUUGGUUAAAGCGUAAAGUAUUUUCUGAGAAUUGAUCUGAAGAUUGAUAACCGUUUAUAGAAGAUUGAUAUGUAUAUUAAAUCAAUGACGUUUCCAUCUGUAGCAGAGACAAUCACCAGUAUUUCUAUGGAGAUUAUCUACUUGAAGCAAAAAUCCAAUUCUAGAAAACUCAAUUUGAAUAAACUUACGGGAAAAUAUAGUUUCAACA